CUUUUCAUUUGUUAUGUAUUUUAAGCAGACAGAACUGAUACAGAUAGCCAGACAACCCUACCUGUCACAAAGUUUACAGAAUCAUCUACAACUCAUACUGAAACUACUAGCCAAGACUUUUCUUUAGAUACCAUUUACAUUAUUACAAGUGUUGCAAGUAUUGGAUUAGUAAUAGUUGGUGUCAUUGGUUUCUUUGUGAUAAGGAAUUAUAGGAAAAAAAGAGGGUUCUAUGAUGUUCAGAAGUUUCAUCAGAUUCAUCUGUGUAGGCCUAACUAAUUGUUUCAUGAUUUCAAACUGUCAAAGAACAUUUUUAGUCUAUUUAAUUUAGAGUUGCUAUAUGUAAUCAUCUUUUUUAUUCUGUUAAAUUGUUUUUAUUACACUUUUCAAGAGAUAUAAAUAUAAAAUAUUGAAAAUUAUAGCCUUGUAAAUAAUAAAUCAGAAAACCUUUUUUUUUAAAUGAGACCUUGGUUCCCCAGUGUAAAUAUGGGACUAUGAGAGUAAAAUAAGAACAGCAAAAUGAAAUACAUUUUUUGCUUUCAAA
rnacentral:sRNA from 1 species